rnacentral:rRNA from 1 species
GCCAGACUCCUACGGGAGGCAGCAGUGGGGAAUAUUGGGCAAUGGACGCAAGUCUGACCCAGCAACGCCGCGUGAAGGAAGAAGGCUUUCGGGUUGUAAACUUCUUUUAAGGGGGAAGAGCAGAAGACGGUACCCCUUGAAUAAGCCACGGCUAACUACGUGCCAGCAGCCGCGGUAAUACGUAGGGGGCAAGCGUUAUCCGGAUUUACUGGGUGUAAAGGGAGCGUAGACGGCUGAGCAAGUCAGAAGUGAAAGCCCGGGGCUCAACCCCGGGACUGCUUUUGAAACUGCGGAGCUGGAGUGCAGGAGAGGUAAGCGGAAUUCCUGGUGUAGCGGUGAAAUGCGUAGAUAUCAGGAGGAACACCAGUGGCGAAGGCGGCUUACUGGACUGUAACUGACGUUGAGGCUCGAAAGCGUGGGGAGCAAACAGGAUUAGAUACCCCAGUA